AUCCUCUUAAAAUACCAUUCCCAGCAUCAUUUGCUGAGUCUUUUCUGUGCACCGGCCCUUUGCACCAUCUCCCGUAAUCUCACAGCACUCUGUAAGGUAAAUUUUAUUGUCUUCAUUUUGCAGAUGAGGAAAUUGAGGCUCAGAUAAAGUAAUCUAACAUCGCAUCGUUAAUAAGUGGUUGAACGAGGCUUUAAUUCCCAGUCAGCUAGAUUUCAGAGAACCUGAGAGAGAAGCAAAGAGAAGGUAAUAAUUUUUAAAGAAUGAAUCUCCACCUUCUGAAACCUGGUAGCAAGUCUUGCCUUUAUUGUGGUCCUUAUCAAAUUCUGCUUUGUUAUUUCUGGUCUUCUUAUAUCACCUCUAUUUAAUUAUAAGCUAUUCUGUGUGGGAGAAGGGAGGAGCUUGUGCAAACCAUUUUUUACCUUCUUUACAGGGUCUUGUUCAGUGCCUGGGACAAAGUAGAUAUUCAAGAGGCUUUUUUAUUCAUUCCUCAUUUAUUUACUGAGUGUUUACUCUGUGGCCAAGCCCAGUAAAGAGGACAGAUCAUGCCCUCUAGGAGCUUUCAGAGCAGUGGAGAGGGUGGUUAAUAAGCAGGGCUCUCACCUGGGUGUGGAAGUACUCUGGUGGGGGAAGCAGGGGCCACCGACCAGCGGAGAGCUCUGCCAAGGCUUCCCAGAGAUCUCAUCGGAACCCACUCCUGGAAUAUCAGUAAGAGCCAGGCAAAGAGAGUGGGGAGGACAUGAUAAGCAGAGUGAACAAACAGGGGUGUGCGAAGCCCCCACCCCCCACCCAGUCAGAGAUAAGCACAUGGUCUGUUCCAAAGAUCCAGGUCAUCUGGAGCUUGCUGUUCACAUGUAGGGUGAGGGGGCUUCUGUGGGAGGGAGGGCAGAGGCAGAGGGGGACCAGAAGGACAGGUGGUGGAGAGGUAUCAGGCAUGAGGUUCAGAAGGAUCAAGUGCCCCAUGCUUUAUCCUGAUGUCCUGGGAAGGGAUAAGUGCAGGGAGGAAGCAAGACAAGCAUACAGUUUAACAAGAUGAUCAGCUAGAUGGUGGAGAAGAGAAAGGAAGGAAGUCUGGUGGCCGGAAAGAAAACCAAAGAAUUGAUGGCUAAAGCUAAGGAGAAGGAGGAUCUUGCCUUCUGGAGAGGAGAAGACCAUUUUGUAUGGAAUUUAGAAGGACAUGCAAAUAUUUUAUUGUUAUUCUUAGAGCUCCACCCCCAUCCGGUUUCUCUCUUCAUUAAUUUGUGGAAGCCACCUGGACUAAAAUACUGACGGAAUCUUCACUUUGAAUGUCCUUGUGUUUAGGCAUCCCAGUAUAGGUAUUAGAGAUUUAAUUAGAGCUGCAUUGAAGCACUUUUUAUCUUAACAAUCUCUCUGCGGGAGAGGUAACAGAGUAACAGGGAUCGAUAUAAACAACCUAAGUGGAAUACCUCAGAAAGAAAGAAAUAUUAUUUUUGCUGAUGCACAUAUUUUAUUUUGAAAAAUCAUGAAGAUCUCCAUUAGGAAAUCAUUCUUUCUUGGCAUUGUGUUGCAUGCUCAACAAAUAGAAGGUAAAUAUGCUAAAAUUGGUGUCUUUUUCACAAAAAAACACAUAGCUAUAAAGCUCUUUGUUUUCACCCAACUGCUGAAAACAUUUGUGUAGGCAAUUUCAGGAAACAUUUGGAGAAUUGGAAGUGCUCUCUCCUACACAUAUGGUUCUUUAUGAAGAGGUAAUUUUUAUCUAUGUUCUACUCGACUGAAUAUUUAUAAGUCUGUUUAGCCUCAAAGGUACCUGAUCUACCCCCAAAAUACAGUUGCCCCCAUAAAGCUAAAGUGAGAUUUAUUCAGUUACCCUUUAAGAACUUUGUGAGUUAUUUUCAUUUUCUCCCUAUGAAUUCAUUCCCUAAAUUUGUUUAAUUUGCUGUGUUAUUGCAAUUAGUCAAUUCUCCCUUAGUUACACAAAUAAUAGCCUUAUAAGUUUGAGGCUGUAAAUCACUCAUCCAUUAAAAAUGCCAUUUCCUUGUACUGCAAAUUUGAUUCAUUUAGAAGAGAAAAACCAUGGCAUGGAACAGAAUUAUGCAAUGUCAUGGACACAUUAACAUUUGGAUCAAAAUUUUACAUUGUGUCAACCAGUAAACAGUAUAAAUGGUCCAGAUUUGCCAUAAAUAAUUGUCUAUUAAUACUCUGGCAUGCUGUAGCAAAUUACAGUCGCACUUCAGUAAACACAGCUGUAGGUAGGCGCCAGGACCGAGGGAAGCAAGUGCCACAAUUGGUUUGAGUGGAAAGAGCCUGUUGUGCAGGGAUGCGGGGCAGCAUUUGUCCAGCAACGGGGAGCACGGCUGUGGAUUAAAUGCCCAUGUUCGUAAACACAGGAGGAAGACCCACUGGGCCCUUAUCAUAGCUGGAACAUGGGACGCCAGGAUGCAGCCUUUUGCCAUAAAACCUAUAGGAAGCACAGAUGCUGAACUCAAUAAGGGCAUCCUUCAUGUUUGCCAAAGGCAAAGGGGUGGUGACACAUUUUAUUAACCAGAAAAGUCUUUGUGGUGUAAAGGACUGACCUCAAGGGGAAACAGGCUUAUGGCUGGAGCAGCCACAAUAUCAGGUGUUGACUAUGGAGCCACUAAGGGACCGCCCACCCAGAAGCCCCAGAGUCUGUCUUAAUUGUAGCCGGAUUUAGGCCCUUCCUCCGUCUCUCCCCUCCUCACUAACCAACUGAAGAAAUGAAAAUUACUACUUUUUUUUCAGUGUUUGGCUGAAGGCUUUUAAGCCCUGUUAAAAUGCAAAUAAGGCAUCAGGAAUGGCUGGUAAAUAGGUAUAUUCACAUUCAUUAACAUCUUGGCCUGCGGCAGGUAAUCAAGUAGCCAAAAUCAGUGGACUGAGUAGGAUGAGUUGGAACUCAGGACAGGUAACCUUUGAUAUGGAUGAGGGGAGAAUGAAGUGUUGCCCAGAGUGUAUCAGCAGGGCACACAAAAGGGAUUUAGGGAAUGAGUCACAAAACUGACUAACACUUGUAUGUUUACCUGUGGGAGCAAGUACUACCACUACUAUUAUCAUCCCCAUUUCCCAGAUGAGAAUAUAGAGACCCAGAGAUAUUAAGGAACUUGCCCAUCAUGUACCCACCCACUGACAAUUUAUACUGAAGAAUUAUCCAUCUCCAAAAGCUCAAUUCUUUUAGUCCAGAAUUUAGCACCAGGCUCCCUAGGAAUAAUAGAGCUUAAGGAUCUUAAGGUUUUGUGGUUCAAUUAAUUGAAACUGUGACCCUUAGAAAAUACCAAGGUUUUAUGAAAUUCCCUGUAAUAAAUAUUCUAGAGUCAAUUCAAAACAUUAAAUUUAUUCCGGAGUUCCCAUUGUGGCGCAGUGGUUAAUGAAUCCAACUAGGAACCAUGAGGUUGCGGGUUCAAUCCCUGCCCUUGCUCAGUGGGUUGACGAUCCGUGUACUGUGGUGUAGGUUGCAGACGCGGCUCGGAUCCUGCGUUGCUGUGGCUCUGGCGUAGGCCGGCAGCUGCAGCUCCGAUUGGACCCCUAGCUUGGGAGCCUCCAUAUGCCGCUGGAGCAGCCCUAGAAAU
rnacentral:lncRNA from 1 species